rnacentral:tRNA from 1 species
GGCUCGUUGGUCUAGGGGUAUGAUUCUCGCUUAGGGUGCAAGAGGUCCCAGGUUCAAAUCCUGGACGAGCCC